rnacentral:rRNA from 1 species
GACGAACGCUGGCGGCGUGCCUAAUACAUGCAAGUAGAACGCGGGUGCGAACGGGUGAGUAACGCGUAGGUAACUGCCUCAGAGCGGGGGAUAACUAUUGGAAACGAUAGCUAAUACCGCAUACUGUGAGAUGGACCUGCGUUGUGUUAGCUAGUUGGUGAGGUAAAGGAUCACCAAGGCGACGAUACAUAGCCGACCUGAGAGGGUGGUCCGGCAAACUGGGACUUGUAACAGGGUCAGACCCCUACGGGAGGCAGCAGUAGGGAAACUUCGGCAAUUGACGGAAGUCCUACCACGCAACUCCGCGGGAGUGGAGAAGGGUUUCGGAUCGUAAAGCUCUGUUGUUAGAGAAGCGGUAACUACCCAGAAAGCGACGGCUAACUACGUGCCAGCAGCCGCGGUAAUUC